GGGGUUCAUUGUGAGUGAAAGAGGAAUCGAGGUUGGUCCUGCUAAAAAAAAAGAGAAAAAAAGAGAAGAAAAAAAAGAAGAAAGAAAUAAGAGAAAUGCCUGAACCGAGAAAAAAGAAAGAGGUUCGUGGUCUAUUAGGUAGAUUGAACUACAUGUCAUGGUUCGUAUCUCAUCUAACAGCCACGUGUGAACCUAUAUUCAAGCGUGUGAAAAAAAAAGAUUAAAC
rnacentral:lncRNA from 1 species